UUCUUGGGCUGUGUCCCGUUCAAUCCGACAGAACAUGCUGACAGAGAUAAAGUCAUUCCUGGCAACCUGGGGCCCGGCAGGUCCCUGCAAGGCCAGUGCUGCGUGAGGAUGGUGUCCAAGGUCUUUUAAAUGGCCGGGGGGCCUAGGUGCAAUGGACAUAUUUCAGACUCAUCACUAAGCUGUUUCAUUCUGGCACAUUGUCAGAUCUGCAGAAAGGGGCUGGUGACAGCAGAAGGGGUUACCCUGUGGGGCUGUAGGAAUGCCUCCAGCGAACCGAUUUCUACCCUGUGGAAUGGCCAUGCAAACCAGACUUUUCUCCUUGAAGCCGAGAAAGUUUCCUACGCAAACAUUUCUCUGUCACCACAGAGCAUUAAGUAGAGUUCCUGUGCUACACAAGCAUGUGGUAUCUACGGUGCACAAGAAUUAUUUUUCUCUAUGCCAUGUCGCACCUUCGUAAAACUAAAUAACCUCCCUCUUCUAACUUAAACGAAAGGCCUUACUGCCCCGUGGAGAAGGGCCCAGAAGGUCUCCAGAGCAGUGUGAGGAGACCAGUUAGGCAGCUGCGGAACAGUCUAGUGCCUCAAGACGCAGAGUGGGGUCUGCAGACUGGCAACGUUGGCCUCGCCUGGGAGAGCCUGUUAGAAAUGAAGAGUCCGGGGCCCAACGCAGACGCACAGAAUCAGAACGUGCAUCUUUUUUUUUUUUUUUUUUUUGCGGUACGCGGGCCUCUCACCGUUGUGGCCUCUCCCGUUGCGGAGCACAGGCUCCGGACGCGCAGGCUCAGCGGCCGUGGCUCACGGGCCCGGCCGCUCCGCGGCACGUGGGACCUUCCCGGACCGGGACACGAACCCGUGUCCCCUGCAUCGGCAGGCGGAUUCUCAACCACUGCGCCACCAGGGAAGCCCAGAACGUGCAUCUUAACAAGGUCUCUAGGAGAUGCUCCCGCGCUGAGCCAGUAGCAUGGUGGCAGGGUCACGGGCAACCCCGACAGGUGUUAAGGAGUCUGAAUCCACAGACCUGGGGAGAGCUUGUUAUAGAAGCACAGAAGAGGCCUUUCCAAGUAAAUAUCUGGGCUGUUUUGAGCUCGUCACGGCAGUAAGGAAAAACGAAAGGCCUAGAUAAUUGGGAAAGACCUUGAGUUCAGUCCAGACCGGGCGAGAAGGCCUGCCCGCCUUGCAUGGAGCCUGGUCUCCCUGCUCGGGCUGCAGAUGACAGCGGUGCAUCCUAGGGACAAGCAGGCGGUCAUGGCCCCUGACCGUCAGCCAGGCGCACUGCCCACAAGGGUCCGUCCUUUGAGUUAGUUACGCCGAGUCCAAACCUGCACAUCAUGACGAUGCAGACUUCAAAAGAGUCCCCAGAUGCAUGGUAUUCACAGAGGACCCCCUACAGCUUUCUAACUGGAGGCCGCAACCAAAGGAUAUCCUGAACAACAUCGUAAUUGUAGAGCUUAAACUCGCAAUUUUGAGAUUCUGUAAACGCCAACAGUGUCCAACAAGUCUCCACAGCCCAGGUCCACACUUUGUGUGGGGUUCUGCCUCCAUCGUGAAUAACUGAGCCAAUUUAAGGCCUACCUGUGCCUAUACAGAAACCUGGUAGAGAUUUGAAACAUACUGAUUUCAAUAAAACAUGCUGAAACAAAGCUUUUAGAUUUGAUUGAAGUAGUAUGGAAUGUCACAGGGACAUUUUGCGCCAAUAGCACAGGGGGAAAAUAUCGACAAGUCUGGACAUUUUAAAACCAUGACUGAUCUAGAGCAAAGAGUUUUCCUGUAACUGAAGCUAUAGCUUUCCUGUUCAUGUCCCUAUUCCUUUAUGCACUCUCUCUAAUUAGGCUUUAGAAACACACACACACACACACACACACACACACACACACACACACAGAGCUUUAAUUCUGUGUUUGAUCUGGGAAAGUUCAGUUGCUCUAGUAUUACAUUUCCCCCAUAUUUUGAUCCCUCUGUCUUAUCCUAUAGGCUUUCCUUCUCAGAAACUGCAUCUUCGAUUUAAACUGACGCUGACAUUUAUACCAGUGAGACGCUGCAGCUCUAAAGCUCCUCUUACAAAGCCUCACGAAAUGAAGCACAUGAUAAAGAUGGGACAAAGCUCUUCAGGACGGAGCCAGCAGUCCUCUGUUACAUAAGUAACCUCUGCAGACACUUUACGUGGAGGUACACUUCAAGCAUGAAGAAAUGCAUUUCCCCACACACUCCAUUCUAAACAGAAAGUAAAGACCAAACACCUUAGGAAGAAUAUAUCCUUUCUGCGCAUAUAAUCUUGAGCAGAAACAUGCAGUAUUUUUAGUUAAGUUUUCCUCAUGUUUGUUUAUCAAAGGAAUGAUUAUGCUGAUUACUAUAAGUGCAUUUUGAACGUUACUUUCUUAAUUGCUUGAAUAGAUAUUUAUGUGCAAAAAAUACCUCUUUCACCCCUUGGCUUUCACCACAGCGUCACCAUCAUUCCACAAAUUCACCUGAAACUUACUAGGUCACACCAAGAAGGGUCUGUAGCCGCACAUCACAUUUUUUCCAUACAAGAAAUUUAAGACACAGCCUGGUAAAACUGGAGGAACCAGGUGGGUCAUUUUCAAUAUCUUCUAUAGGAAGCCAGUAGAUUAAAAAGGAAUUCGUGACCUAGUCUCGUGACUUUUUUCCUGAUCAUGGGCCAUCACUCUAAAACAACCCAGCAUGUGGAUUAUGUUAAUGUGAUCUUUGCGUCGAAGGUGUGCUACUGUAAACUAUUAAUUAAUUAACCAAUCAGUUCAUCUAUCUGUCACCAUAUACUGAACACAAGGCACUUGUGCGCUGGCCCCUGCCCUGAAGGAACUCCGUCCGUGGCAGAGACAGGACGCGACACGCUGGAAAGAAGUUACGGCAACUGCUCAGGCUGCUAAUUCUCAGCUAAGCGAGGAUAGAGGGCACCUUUAAUAAAAAAGCUUCCUAAAGGAUCUGAGGCUUGAGUGUACUGUGAAGAGCAGCUUUUAGUUUGCAGAGGAACAAGGGGGAGAAAGAACAAAGGAACAGAACAUGAGAAGACUUGGAGGAGGUGGGAAGAAGCGGGGAGACACAGGUCCAUCCGCUGAGUGAAUGCCAGCCCAGAACAGCAGCUCCAGAAGCGAGCCGGGCACUGAUUAGAAGGAAGGAGCACACAAAGCGCUGGCGGGGGCGGGGGGGGGCAUGUGUCUGGCAGGCAGCAGGCAGGCAGGGGCCACCAUCACCGCGCGCGCUGCCAGAGGGCAGGGAGGACGAGGCCUGGGGGCCACAAGGGAGGCUGAGGGCUGGGAGCAAAGGAGGCCAGUGAGAGGUGUGGGUGUUGGGGUCUCAGAGGCGGAGCCUCCUGGGUCGUGGUGAGGUCUCAGAGGGCUCUUAGGGAGGAGAUUCCCAUACUGCUUGUUUCACAGAGCACCUAAGUGAACUGAUAUCAUUUCUUUCAGAAAGUGGGCUCAGAUCCACCCUCUGAAUCUUUUGGGGAUGGACUCUAAGGGUCUGAACUGACGUUAAACCAAUCUAACAGUGUAUCUAUUUAAUUUUUAAAAAUUGUAUCGUGUUAAGACACUUAACGUGAGAUCUAUCCUCCAAACCGGUUUUAAGCGCACAAUACAGCGUGACUUGAUGGGAUCGGACAGCAAGGAGCCCCGCCUGCACAGAACAGACCCCGACAAAUACACUUGUUAGAUGGCUGAAUUAAUUACAGCACACACUCGACUGCAUCACUGAAACACCUUUUGAGUCUGGUAAAGGGGAAGGCCUUCUAAUAUUUAGUUCAAUUAAUUGACGUUAUCCAGGAAAGCUUGGUAAUCUAAAACAAAAGAUAAAAACCACCCAUUAGGCUGCAGAGUGGUGUAUUUCUAGUCUGUUUUUAAUGGUGAUUCUCUGAAUGGAAUUCAGAUAGAGAAAGAAAGUAACAGGGGUGGUGGCCGGGCUGGGGAUGGAGCGGAAGACAGAGGCAGCAGAAAGCAUGGCCCAGCCGGCUGGCUACCAGGAUGAGUGCAAUCUCUAGAAGGGCAGGAUCUUCUGUUCUUCUUGUCAUGGAAGAUGCAAAGAUGUCCAAGACACCCCUCUAAUGGCCGAGCCACUACCUGACAGGAAGAGACGGCACGAUGCCAUGGAGAGGACACGCCCUACCUGCCCUGCUCCCGUGCGGGGAGAAGCAGUCCCGUCUGCUUUUUACCUCCUCGGUUGAAACAGCUUCUGAACGCCAGCGGCAAGGACAGCAGGACAGCCUCGUCCUCGGGUGCCUGAUGGAAGAAGCUCACCUUUUCUCUGGUAUCAGAGUUUCAUCCCCAGAUCUACUCACGGCUGUGCACUCAGAGGUCCGGAUCGCAUGGGGUUUCCAAAGAGGACAGCGUGAAGAAUUUUUGCUUUAACGUUCAACUGGGGGCUUCCUUACCCUGAACGGUCUGGGACAUUUCCCUAUGUUGUAACACUUGGAUCGGGUUCAUGGAAUUGUCCCCACUUUCAAAACAGAUGACCUCUCACUAGAAGAUUCACUUAUCUCUUUCCCCUCAGCCCCGUAAACCAGUCCAGCAAAGUCCUAACUUGCAACAAACAGGCAAUUCACUCUACCAGACAACACAGUUAUCUAAUCUCCCAAAAACGACACCUGGCAAGUUUCUAACCAUAAUGCCAUUUGACGCGUUUCCAUCAACAUUUCUUCUUACAAGCAAUAUUAAUAAUGCCUUUUAAGUCUGAAGGCUCCAUAACCAGUGGAAAAUAACAUAAUAAUAACUGGCAGCCCCUGGCAAGCAGCCUCUGUUCCGAAUGAGUGUUUGAAGAUUACCAGCGAAGUUCCCAGGAGAACGAAUGAGCUCUUGCGUCAUUCAUCAAACGUUCACUGGCCCCAAAUGCGUGCCAGGCCCUGUGCUUGUUACUGGAGGGGUGAACGGUCUUUGCCGUCACGGAGCUGACGGCCUGGGAAGAAAGACCGACACUAAAUACAGGUGAGGAUUCCAGACACCACCACCGAUGAGCUGAUUUGCAGGGCAAUGAGUAGUUGCCUUUCCAGAUGGGUCGCAGCCACAUAGAUGUCCUCAUGGAGGUCAUACUUUCUCUUCUCUAUCAAUGUGAACAACUUUCAAAUGAAAGAGUGGAAGCGAUUAUGUGUCCAAGAAAGCAAGCACUUCCUUUUGCUGUUAAUCAAGUUGCCCAACACCUCUGCGGGCCCCUAACCUGGCAGAUGCAGCCGCUGCCGCGCGCUAUCACACAGGGCGGGAGGACGGAGAGACACACCGCGAGGGAAAAACCCAGAACGCAAGCCCGCUCUGGCCAGGUGGAUGGCCUUGGGCCCAUCCAGGCUCACACGAAAGAAAAAGCGUCCCCAGUCAUAUCUAGCCACCCGAUUAGAGCACUGACCUCAGCAAUAAUCGUACUCCAGGAGCUCAGGACACCGCUUCUCAAGCCCUGGAGGGCCUAUGAAUUACGAGAGAUUUUGUUAAAAUAUAUCACCAACAAGGAGAGAUGAAGGAGACGGGAGAGCUGGGACACGGUGGUCCCCCAGGCCACGAGGCAAAAGCAGACACCACGCUGUCCAAAGCUGCAAAAGCUCGGAGCAGGUGAGAGGAAAGGCACGGACCAGAUCUCAACUACAGAGGCAGUCUCCGAACCUUUCCCAGAUGAGUUUCAGUGGCGCGGUGAGAACACACGGAUUAUAUUCUGAGGAAGUGCACACACUGACUCGGGGGAGAAAAUGCACAGUGACAGUUUCUUCUCACAUUUGCUGGGAUAAGACCAUCUCUGACUACAUUGCAAUUUGAAAGUCUGGUUUCCAAGGAUUAAACAUUUGUUGGAGAUAUACAACUUGAGAGCCAACAUUACUUCCAUAUAUUUUCCCCAACUUUACUCAGGCAUAAUUAACAAAUAAAAAGUGUAUCUAUUUAGGAUGUACAAUGUGAUGAUUUAAUAACACACAUGU